ACAGUCUGAAAAAUUCCAAAUGAGUCACACAUGAGGAAUGUGAAGCAUGACUGGGCUUCCAGAGUGGCACUGGAGCUGCCAGCCUUCUCUUCCCCCACCCACUUCUAGGGUGACUCUCAGCCCAACGCAGGUCCACAGAAUGUAUCUAGGGGCUGAAAAAGGACCAUACCAUCUCUCUUGAGCUCCUGAAGUCCUUUUCUAUUUGCUCAACUUGUUCCUCUCUGUAAGUUAUUGAGGUGCUUAGGGAGCAUGCAGAAGGAAGGGCCUAGUCUGAGAGGUAAGUUACUCUUGCCCAAAAUGAAAUGCAAAUCAUGUGGGACUGGGGUUCUUUCCCAGGCCAAGAUGGAAUCCCCACCAAGAGGCUCUGGAGUCUCAGCUUCACCUCUCCUGGGACCAACAGCUGCCUCUGCUGAUUUACUGUGAUAUGUUCCUCCACUGAGUACUUCUCUGGAUUUUUUGUUCAUUUCCAGAAACCUUUUUCAGGGCAAGAGGAGACUGAGUUCCACAGAAGUGAAAUUAUGUGGCAAAGCCUCCAUCUAUAGUAAUGAGGGAAAGCAGAAAGCAAAGCCAUUGUUCCGAGGUGGUCUAUGUGUGAGCAAAAGCCACUGAGAAUGCUGUACCAGUAACUACCCACCAAGGAAAAUGAUGGAAAACAGACUUACAAAUCCUGCACAGUGUUCACAGAAGGUUGGC